UAUAGUUACAGCCAGUAAUGGACUGUAUACGCUUGGUCACUGAUACUUUGUAUUAAGCGUACUUUCAAGUACGCCAGUCAAGUGGGAAGAGCAGCUGAUUUUCAGCUGCUCUUUUUUGUCUAU
rnacentral:ncRNA from 1 species